rnacentral:rRNA from 1 species
ACUCAAAGGAAUUGACGGGGGCCCGCACAAGCGGUGGAGCAUGUGGUUCAAUUCGACGCAACGCGCAGAACCUUACCUGGGUUAAAUCCACUGGAAGUUGACAGAGAUGUCGAUGUGCUCUUCGGAGAGCCAGUGAGAAGGUGCUGCAUGGCUGUCGUCAGCUCGUGUCGUGAGAUGUUGGGUUAAGUCCCGCAACGAGCGCAACCUCUGUCGUUAGUUGCCAGCCUUAAGUGGGGCACUCUAACGAGACUGCCGACGUCAAGUCGGAGGAAGGUGGAGAUGACGUCAAGUCCUCAUGGACCUUAUGCCCAGGGCUACACACGUGCUACAAUGGCCGGUACAAAGGGAUGCAAGACCGCGAGGUGGAGCCAAUCCCAAAAAACCGUCCUCAGUUCGGAUUGUAGUCUGCAACUCGACUACAUGAAGCUGGAAUCGCUAGUAAUCGUAGAUCAGCAUGCUACGGUGAAUACGUUCCCGGGCCUUGUACACACCGCCCGU